GAGGACGGGCCGGAAGUGAAGGUUGUGGUCCUGGGGUGUGGAGGGAUUUCUGACAGUAUUCAGCGCCCCCAUACACAGCCCACCACCGCCUCCCCUCACAGGGAGCAGAGAGAGGGUCACGGUGAUGUGGUACUGGGUGGUCCCUUUAAAUACUGCCUUGUCUGUGCAGUGAUAACCUAACGCCUGUGUGUCUCUGUGUCGGUGUCUGUGUCUCUGUGUGUCUCUCUCUGUGUGUGUCCAUCUCUCUCUCUCUCUGUGUCUCUCUCUGUGUCUCUCUGUGUGUCUGUGUCUCUCUCUCUGUGUCUCUCUCUGUGUGUGUCCAUCUCUCUCUCUCUCUCUCUCUGUGUCUCUGUCGUUUCAUUCCCACACCCUCCAGUGAGGGGUCCCCUGAACUCUGUUAGUGGAGCCCAGUCACAGGCUCACCCCCCCCACAGGGUGGAGUGGGGGAGGGAGGGGGGUGUGGACAGAGAGGGUCAUCACCCCAACCCUGCACUCGCAGGGACCACCCUCACUUUCUAAAGCCCUCAACGUCCACUCGCGUUCCUCUCCCAACAGACCACAGCACCCACCCUACCUCAGCACUGACCCUCCCACAGCACCCACUCCCUCAGCACUGACCCUCCCUCAGCACCUACUCCCUCAGCACUGACCCUCCCACAGCACCCACUCCCUCAGCACUGACCCUCCCACAGCACCCACUCCCUCAGCACUGACCCUCCCUCAGCACCCGCUCCCUCAGCACUGACCCUCCCACAGCACCCGCUCCCUCAGCACUGACCCUCCCAUAGGGCCCGCUCCCUCAGCACUGACCCUCCCACAGCGCCCGCUCCCUCAGCACUGACCCUCCCACAGCGCCCACUCCCUCAGCACUGGCCCUCCCACAGCACUGGCCCUCCCUCAGCACUGGCCCUCCCUCAGCACUGGCCCUCCCUCAGCACUGACCCUCCCACAGCACUGACCCUCCCUCAGCACCCACUCCCUCAGCACUGACCCUCCCUCAGCACUGACCCUCGGUGCCGGACGAUGCUAGGGGCUCGCGCUGGGAGCGGGUUGGGGGAGGUGCUGGUCCCGGACGAGGUGUGGGAAGCCCUGAGGGCUGACCCCCGCCUGCCCGAUUUCGAGGGGAGCCACGGGGUGGAGGUGGGUCUGCAGCAGGGCGCUCGCUCCCCCAGGGGGAUGUGCACCCUCGCCCUGACCCCCCGACACUCCGGCCCUUGGCACUGGCUGGCGCGGGCCCGGGAGGAGUUGGUGCGCCUGUGCUGCUCGGUGCUCCCGGGCCGGAGGGCGGGCGGACGCGACGCGGUGCCCCCGGCCCCCUCCCCCUCCCCCACCCCCUCGGACGACCUCUGCCCCAUCUGCCUGGGUGAGAUUGGUGAGAGGCAGAGCCUGAACCGCUGCGGCCACACGUUUUGCCAGCCCUGCCUACAGGGGGCGUUCCGGGUCCGGCCGGUCUGCCCCGUCUGUGGUCUGGUCUAUGGCACGGUGACCGGGGACCAGCCAGCGGGGGGCUCGAUGUCGUCUGCGAGACAACAGAGCCUCCACUUACCCGGGUACGAGAACUCAGGCACCAUCCAGAUCACCUACACCAUCCCCAGCGGCGUCCAGGGGCCUGAACACCCGAACCCCGGCCUGCCGUACCGAGGGACAACGCGAGUGGCCUACCUCCCUGACUGUAGGGAGGGACGCAAAGUUCACCAGCUCCUCCAGAGGGCCUUCGAUCAGAGGCUGGUGUUCACCGUCGGCACCUCUCGCACCACCGGGAGAUCUAACGUGGUGACUUGGAAUGACAUUCACCACAAAACCAGCCCCUGGGGGGGCCCGCAGCGUGUCUCUCCCUGGUGUCUGGAUCCUCCUCUUGCCUCUGUCUUCCAACCCUCCCUCUCCUGCCUCUCUGUCCCCUCACUCCUCUGUGUGUGUGUGUCUCUCUGACCCCCUGCGUCUCUCUCUCUCUCUCUCUCUCUCUCUCUCUCUCUGUCUUCCACUCCCUUCACCGGUAUCUCUCUCUCUCUCUGUCCUCUCUCUCCUCAGUGUCUCUCCCUGGUGUCUGUAUCUCCCUCUGUCUUCCAACCCUCCUUCUCCUGCCCCUCUCUCUCCCCUGUGUGUGUGUGUGUGUGUGUGUGUCUGACCCCCUGCGUCUCUCUCUCUCUCCUGCUACAGAUGAAGGACAAACACUCAUUGUCACUAACAGCUCAGCCCUCUGUGCUGCGGUGUAAGCUGGUGGUGGUGGGGGAUGUGCAGUGUGGGAAGACAGCAAUGCUGCAGGUCUUAGCGAAAGACUCCUACCCCGAGAGUUAUGUUGCUACGGUGUUUGAGAAUUACACAGCCAGUGUGCAGCUGGAGGACCAUCGUGUUGAGCUCAGUCUCUGGGACACCUCAGGGUCACCGUACUACGACAAUGUCCGCCCACUGUGUUACAGCGACUCUGACGCCAUCCUGGUCUGCUUCGAUAUUAGCCGUCCUGAAACCCUGGACAGUGCAGUU